CACGUAGGGUGCGAGCGUUGUCCGGAAUUAUUGGGCGUAAAGAGCUCGUAGGCGGUGUGUCGCGUCGGCCGUGAAAACCUGCAGCUUAACUGUGGGCUUGCGGUCGAUACGGGCAUCACUGGAGUUCGGCAGGGGAGACUGGAAUUCCUGGUGUAGCGGUGAAAUGCGCAGAUAUCAGGAGGAACACCGGUGGCGAAGGCGGGUCUCUGGGCCGAUACUGACGCUGAUGCGCGAAAGCCAGGGGAGCAAACGGG
rnacentral:rRNA from 1 species